AUUGGGUGGUUUAGAGAAGGUAUUAAAAGAAGGAAAGUGAAGCAACAGAAGAUGUAUUAGUGAACUGUUUUGGCGGUGGCAUCAUCAAUAUUCACUCGGAGUUUGAUAAUGGACCUACUUCUUUCUUUUGUCCUCUCUCUAUUCUAUUUUUUCAAUCACUACUCAAUUAUGAAGAUGAUUUAGAGUCAUCAAUAGUGGACUAUUAGACUCUACUAUUCAGUAAUGACGAUACCAAUAUAGGUGGUUGAUGUUGAAUUGUUAUUAAAUCACUAAUGUUGAAACUUGGAACGUGUUAAAUCGGGUUCUUAUGAAGUUAUGAUGCUGACCCAUUACCUGUCUCUUGUUCUUCGAAAUUUCACAAAAGAAUAUAGUGUUCUAAAAGAAAAGGAAAAAAAAAAGAGGGUUUUGAUUUCUUUUCUUCCCAAAACAUUGAUUCGUUUUAGACUACUUUUGUUAGUUUAAGCCAUGACUUUUGUA
rnacentral:sRNA from 1 species